GGUCGUGUGGUGUAGUGGUGAUCAUGUUUCCUUUACACGGAAAAGGCCGCAGGUUCGAACCCUGCCACGACCA
rnacentral:tRNA from 1 species